AUAGUAGAUAGUGCUCCAAAUUCUGGUCAGUUUUCGCCUGGGACGUCGUACCGGGCAGCUGUUUUAAAAAACUGAUUUGCUGAUACGAAAUUUAAAGCUCGAGAAAAGACACCCAGUGAGGGGAUCCUGAGAAGCUGCGUUGAGAGAAAGAGGAGCUAGAAAACCAGAAACGGAAAGAAAAAAGCUCGGUUGCAAGCAGCAGCAGAGGCUGCCGAAAACGCAAGAAGGCGGGCAAAAGUAGAAGCUGCGUUAGAGGCAAAGCGAAAGAGAGACCUCGAGAGGGAAGCAGCUUGUCAGGCGUUAUUGAAGGUUUCCACCUUUACCUUGAUAAUCGAAUAAAAACAUUAGAGUAAAAUGCCAUUUCCGCCCCUGAGCUUUGGCCAGUUUUGCGAGGUUCGUCCAAAUGUUGGUUUGUUAGAAUCUGGAUCCAAAAGGUGAAGAAGGCAUGUGGGAGGGUGGUUAAUAUAUUCAUCUUCGUGCUAGGUUGCUAACGAGUGUGAUCGUUUUGAUCUUGUGGAAAAGUAAAUUAGAAAGUAGUAUUAUACUAAUGGUAUUGCAUUAGUGAGUAAUGUCCAUCAUCCACUUAGCUCAUUUAUUCUAGGUUGCUAUAUUGGCUUCUUCAAGGAGGAAGUGAGUUUUUCUCUCUCGUAGCUUUGGUGAUUACGUUUUUUUCAGUAAUCACUUUUCUAGAUUUUUUACGUUUGCGUAAUCGGAUAGUGAUGGUCAUAAAUUCAUAAUCACUUUAUGCCAAACUCUCAAUACUGAUUAAGAGAGAUGGUCAAAAGGCGGGUUGGGUAACGGGUUAAACCUCAUCCUCUCCCUUCUACUCCAUGAUGUCGGCCUUCUUGAUCACAACCAACAAUUUUCCCUCCGGCGUCUCAUUCAGGUGAAACGACAGUACCUCUAUGGCAACAGUACCCAGUUUUGGCGAGCGUGAAACUGUUUAUGUCCUACUAAUUGUUGAAGGUCAGGUAUCAAAUGAUCCUAAUUCAGUUUAAAAAACCAAUGAGAAAUAAGUUUUCUUGUUACUAAUUGCUGCCUCAGACCCCCACCCCACCCC